AUUGAACGCUGGCGGCAUGCCUUACACAUGCAAGUCGAACGGCAGCACGGGUGCUUGCACCUGGUGGCGAGUGGCGAACGGGUGAGUAAUAUAUCGGAACGUACCUUAUUGUGGGGGAUAACGCAGCGAAAGCUGUGCUAAUACCGCAUAAUCCCUAAGGGGGAAAGCGGGGGACCGUAAGGCCUCGCGCAAUUAGAGCGGCCGAUACCUGAUUAGCUAGUUGGUGAGGUAAAGGCUCACCAAGGCAACGAUCAGUAGCUGGUCUGAGAGGACGAUCAGCCACACUGGGACUGAGACACGGCCCAGACUCCGACGGGAGGCAGCAGUGGGGAAUUUUGGGCAAUGGGGGCAACCCUGAUCCAGCAAUGCCGCGUGAGUGAAGAAGGCCUUCGGGUUGUAAAGCUCUUUUGUCAGGGAAGAAACAGCAGCUCUAACACAGUAUGCGAAUGACGGUACCUGAAGAAUAAGCACCGGCUAACUACGUGCCAGCCGCCGCGGUAA
rnacentral:rRNA from 1 species